rnacentral:rRNA from 1 species
AUGCAAGUCGAAUGCCGAUUUAUCGGCAUGGCAGACGGCUGAGUAAUACAUGGGAAUCUACCUCAAACUCGAGAAUAGCCCAUCGAAAGGUGGUGUAAUACUCGAUAGUUCCGUUUACGGUAAAGCUCCGGCGGUUUGAGAUGAGCCCAUGUCCUAUCAGGUUGUUGGUGGGGUAAUUGCCUACCAAGCCUAUGACGGGUAGCUGGUUUGAGAGGAUGAUCAGCCAGACUGGGACUGCGAUACGGCCCAGACUCCUACGGGAGGCAGCAACUAGGAAUCAUGCGCAAUGGACGAAAGUCUGACGCUGCGACGUCGCGUGAGGGAUGAAGGUCUUCGGAUCGUAAACCUCUUUUAUCUGGGAACAAGUUCUGAGUGUACCAGAUGAAUAAGUGCCUGCCAACCACGUGCCAGAAGCAUCGGUAAUGCGUGGGGCACGAGCGUUAUCCGGAUUUACUGGGCGUAAAGAGAUGCGUAGGCGCCUUUUUAAGUCACUUGUAAAAUCUCCCCGCUCAACGGGGAAACUGCAAGUGAUACUGAAUUGGUUGAGUCAAGUAGAGGAGAGGGGAAUUCCUGGUGGAGCGGUUAAAUGCGUUGAUAUCAGGAGGAAUACCAAGUGCGAAGGCACCUCUCUGGACUUGUACUGACGCUAAGGCUCGAAAGUGUGGGGAGCAAAACGGAUUAGAUACCCGUGUAGUCCACACUGUAAACGAUCCCUGCUAGAUGUU